rnacentral:snRNA from 1 species
AUCGCUUCUCGGCCUUUUGGCUAAGAUCAAGUGUAAAGGUAAGUUUAUAAUAUAGGUUUGUUUGCUUUGUUCUGUAAACAGCUUGCAUGUAUUGCACAGUGCGUUUGUGCUAGAUCCUGUUCUAAUCCCUAUAUUUGGAUUAGUUUG